rnacentral:rRNA from 1 species
AUUGAACGCUGGCGGCAGGCCUAACACAUGCAAGUCGAGCGAGCGGCGGACGGGUGAGUAAUGUAUGGGGACUGCCCGAUAGAGGGGGAUAACUACUGGAAACGGUAGCUAAUACAGCAUACGAUCGGAUAACCCAUAUGGGAUUAGCUAGUAGGUGAGGUAAUGGCUCACCUAGGCGACGAUCCCUAGCUUGUCGGAGAGGAUGAUCAUCCAAACUGGAACUGAGACACGGCCCAGACUCCUACGGAGGCAGCAGUGGGGAAUAUUGCACAAUGGGCGCAAGCCUGAUUCAGCCAUGCCGCGUGUAUGAAGAAGGUCCUAGGGUUGUAAAGUACUUUCAGUCGGGAGGCGUUACCGACAGAAGAAGCACCGGCUAACUCCGUGCCAGCAGCUGCGGUAAUUC